CAGAGAAUAGUUUAAUAAAAAUUUUAAUUUUGGAGAUUAAAGAUGGGAAGAUUUUCUUUCUCUGA
rnacentral:tRNA from 1 species